AAAUCUAGAAAAGCGAUGGAUAGGGUCCUUUAGUCCAUCGCUUUUCUGGAUUUUU
rnacentral:pre_miRNA from 1 species